GGCCAUCGGUUAUGGUUUUUCAUUCCUUGGGUUAUCUCCAAUCGCUUGUUGUAGAUUAGUGGUCAAAUACUCUCAAUUGCGAUUCUGAAUUGGGUCGGAUCAAAUUGGAUUUUCGAUCUGCAUCCUGUUCAUUCUUCAGUUGAGUGAUUGGAAAUCAACUUCAAAACCCUUUCUGUGCUCCUGUUUCAUUUUGGAAGAUUGGGAUCGUUGGCAUAGUAGAGAUAAUGGUGGAUGUGAUUUCAGUGGUCUCGUUUUCAAUUAUGAUGUGUAUAGAGCUUUAUCUCAGGGUUUUUGGAAGAAUUUGGAGUGGUGACAAUGAGGGAAAGCUUUGGACCUCUUUCUGAAGAUCGGAUUACAUACAACGCACUGCUGAGAACACCCUUGCCAACAGUAAGGUUGCUUCCAAUCUCAUGUCGGUCAUUAAAGAGGUAGUACUAAUAUCAAUGCUUAAUUGGUAUUAUUAUGCACAUUGCAUUGUAGAUUGUCUUGAAAACAUCACACACUUGGUAUUUCUUAUUGAUUUCAUCUUUCACUCUUCUUCUUCUUCAAACACUUCAUUUGUGCAUAUUUGAUUAUAUAAACAUUAGUUCAUAUACAUCACAUUGCUGGCCAAUAGUUUUGCUAUGCAAUGUUAUGACAUUUGUCGUGAGCAACUCACAGCUCCUCUAUUCAGGAGCCUGUUUUUGUAGAACUAUGUCUUUCUGAAGGGCGAUAUUCCUAAAAUAUAGAACUUUUACAAUGAAAUAUUGGGAAUAAUACCUUAAUAGAAUUGUUAAGCAGCAAACUCAUACCUCAAAAGAUAGGAAUCUUAUAUCAAGUUAAUUUUUCUUGUUUAUGUUGGAUCAAUCUCAAACACUUGGAAGUUGGAAGUCUAAUUGUGAAACUCAACGGGUGGUUCAGCAACAUGUACGGGUAUAAGCCCAAAAUUCUCAAUCUCUGUCCUUCCUCUGUCUCACCAACAUUGAUGGAAAACCAUUUUUACCGCUUUAUUGCGCUGCUAUCUAGUGUCUUGCAUAGCUCACACUUGAAUUUGAGACAAGACAAGCUUAAUGCUACUGGACGCUCUUGGCCUUCACCUGCGUCAUGUGUCGGAAUAUUCAUGCUGGAAUAACCACAGUGAUAUCGAAGCAUAAGAAAUGAGGCAGUCGAAGAUUAAUUUGAGUCUGAAAGGCUUGGAGAAUGGCAUGCUUAAGUGAAACUGUGCACACAAACAACCGUCAUAUGAGGAAAAACCAUUGCCAUGGAAUCUGAUGAACAAAGGCUUGAGCUUGAAGCAGGGUUUUCCAUUUUGGUUG